UACGUAGGGGGCAAGCGUUGUCCGGAAUCACUGGGCGUAAAGCGUGCGUAGGCGGUUUGGUAAGUCUGGAGUGAAAGUCCAAGGCUCAACCUUGGGAUGGCUUUGGAAACUGGCAGACUUGAGUACUGGAGAGGCAAGGGGAAUUCCACGUGUAGCGGUGAAAUGCGUAGAUAUGUGGAGGAAUACCAGUGGCGAAGGCGCCUUGCUGGACAGUGACUGACGCUGAGGCACGAAAGCGUGGGGAGCAAACAGG
rnacentral:rRNA from 1 species